GUGGGGAAUAUUGCACAAUGGGGGAAACCCUGAUGCAGCGACGCCGCGUGAGGGAAGAAGGUUUUCGGAUUGUAAACCUCUGUCCUUGGUGACGAAAAUGACGGUAGCCAAGGAGGAAGCCACGGCUAACUACGUGCCAGCAGCCGCGGUAAUACGUAGGUGGCAAGCGUUGUCCGGAAUUACUGGGUGUAAAGGGAGCGUAGGCGGGAAGAUAAGUUGGACGUCUAAUCUAUCGGCUCAACCGAUAGUCGCGUUCAAAACUGUUUUUCUUGAGUGAAGUAGAGGUAAGCGGAAUUCCUAGUGUAGCGGUGAAAUGCGUAAAUAUUAGGAGGAACACCAGUGGCGAAGGCGGCUUACUGGGCUUUAACUGACGCUGAGGCUCGAAAGCGUGGGUAGCAAACAGG
rnacentral:rRNA from 1 species